UAGACAUUUAGGCAAUAUAAUAAUAUAAGUGAUAUAAUAUCAGUAUCUACAUUAAGCAGGUUUAUAUUAUGUACAGAAUUAUUUAAAGCAGAGUUUAACUAUAGUUAUUGUAUUUAAUUGCGUUGAUUUUUUUUUUUUUUUUUUCAUAAAUACAGUGUUGAUAUUUAAUACGCUAUUUUUUUUACGCUGCUUAAUCGAUUGUGCCAUUAAAAAUAAGAUAAAACCUUUUAUUGAUAUUUUAUGCGAGUACUAUUUCUAUACAAUUUGAAUGAUUAAAAGCAAAUAAUGGUAAAUCUAAUAUUUUAAAGAAUUAAUAAAACCAAUUUUCUUUUAAAAGUACAAUGCUUAAUCAAUAAUUAUAGUAUAACUAGUUUUCAGUACCAACCACAUGUUGUUACAUAUACUUAUUUACCUCGUCAUAAGUUUUCCUUAUAAAGGUAAAUCAAUCUAAUUAAAAUACUGAAGUAUGCAAUUUAAUUG